UACGGGGGGGCAAGCGUUGUUCGGAAUUACUGGGCGUAAAGGGCUCGUAGGGGGCCAACUAAGUCAUACGUGAAAUCCCUCGGCUUAACCGGGGAACUGCGUCUGAUACUGGAUGGCUUGAGUUCGGGAGAGGGAUGCGGAAUUCCAGGUGUAGCGGUGAAAUGCGUAGAUAUCUGGAGGAACACCGGUGGCGAAGGCGGCAUCCUGGACCGAUACUGACGCUGAGGAGCGAAAGCCAGGGGAGCAAACGGG
rnacentral:rRNA from 1 species